rnacentral:rRNA from 1 species
GUGGGGAAUAUUGGACAAUGGGCGCAAGCCUGAUCCAGCCAUGCCGCGUGAGUGAUGAAGGCCCUAGGGUUGUAAAGCUCUUUCACCGGUGAAGAUAAUGACGGUAACCGGAGAAGAAGCCCCGGCUAACUUCGUGCCAGCAGCCGCGGUAAUACGAAGGGGGCUAGCGUUGUUCGGAAUUACUGGGCGUAAAGCGCACGUAGGCGGGUAUUUAAGUCAGGGGUGAAAUCCCAGAGCUCAACUCUGGAACUGCCUUUGAUACUGGGUACCUAGAGUAUGGAAGAGGUAAGUGGAAUUCCGAGUGUAGAGGUGAAAUUCGUAGAUAUUCGGAGGAACACCAGUGGCGAAGGCGGCUUACUGGUCCAUUACUGACGCUGAGGUGCGAAAGCGUGGGGAGCAAACAGGAUUAGAUACCCGAGUAGUCC